CCUACGGGAGGCAGCAGUGAGGAAUAUUGGUCAAUGGACGAGAGUCUGAACCAGCCAAGUAGCGUGAAGGAUGACUGCCCUAUGGGUUGUAAACUUCUUUUAUAUGGGAAUAAAAUGUUCCACGUGUGGGAUUUUGUAUGUACCAUAUGAAUAAGGAUCGGCUAACUCCGUGCCAGCAGCCGCGGUAAUACGGAGGAUCCGAGCGUUAUGCGGAUUUAUUGGGUUUAAAGGGAGCGUAGGUGGAUUGUUAAGUGAGUUGUGAAAGUUUGCGGCUCAACCGUAAAAUUGCAGUUGAAACUGGCAGUCUUGAGUACAGUAGAGGUGGGCGGAAUUCGUGGUGUAGCGGUGAAAUGCUUAGAUAUCACGAAGAACUCCGAUUGCGAAGGCAGUUCACUGGACUGCAACUGACACUGAGGCUCGAAAGUGUGGGUAUCAAACAGGAUUAGAUACCCCUGUAGUC
rnacentral:rRNA from 1 species